GAUGAACGCUGACAGAAUGCUUAACACAUGCAAGUCGAUGGGGAAGUGGUGCUUGCACCAUGGCAACCAUGGCGGACGGGUGAGUAACGCGUAAGGGACUUACCUGCAGGACUGGGAUAACAGGGGGAAACUCCUGACAAGACCGGAUAAUGUCAUGGAGCUGCAUGGCUUUAUGAUGAAAGGAGACGCCUGCGGAGAGCCUUGCGUCCUAUUAGCUAGUUGGUGAGGUAAUGGCUCACCAAGGCGAAGAUAGGUAGCCGGCCUGAGAGGGUGGACGGCCACAAGGGGACUGAGAUACGGCCCUUACUCCUACGGGAGGCAGCAGUGGGGAAUAUUGGACAAUGGGCGCAAGCCUGAUCCAGCCAUACCGCGUGGGUGAAGAAGGCCUUCGGGUUGUAAAGCCCUUUUGUUGGGAAAGAAAAGCAGCAGGUUAAUACCCCGCUGUUCUGACGGUACCCAAAGAAUAAGCACCGGCUAACUUCGUG
rnacentral:rRNA from 1 species